rnacentral:rRNA from 1 species
AGAGUUUGAUCAUGGCUCAGGAUGAACGCUAGCGGCAGGCCUAAUACAUGCAAGUCGAACGGGGCAGCAAUGCCUAGUGGCGCACGGGUGCGUAACGCGUAUGCAACCUACCUUUCAGUGGGGGGAUAGCCCGGGGAAACCCGGAUUAAUACCGCAUAAUAUAAUUGGAUGGCAUCAUUUGAUUAUUAAACAUUUAUGGCUGAAAGCUGGGCAUGCGUAAGAUUAGUUAGUUGGCGGGGUAGCAGCCCACCAAGACAAUGAUCUUUAGGGGUUCUGAGAGGAAGAUCCCCCGCACUGGUACUGAGAUACGGACCAGACUCCUACGGGAGGCAGCAGUAGGGAAUAUUGGGCAAUGGAGGCAACUCUGACCCAGCCAUGCCGCGUGCAGGAAGAAGGCCUUCUGGGUUGUAAACUGCUUUUGGAAGGGAACAAAACGGCUCUGCGGAGCAACUUGAGUGUACCUUCAGAAUAAGCACCGGCUAACUCCGUGCCAGCAGCCGCGGUAAUACGGAGGGUGCAAGCGUUGUCCGGAUUUAUUGGGUUUAAAGGGUGCGUAGGCGGGAGAUUAAGUCAGGGGUGAAAGACUGCAGCUCAACUGUAGCAGUGCCUUUGAUACUGAUUUUCUUGAGUACAGAUGAGGCUGGCGGAAUGGGUGGUGUAGCGGUGAAAUGCAUAGAUACCAUCCAGAACACCGAUUGCGAAGGCAGCCGGCUAAACUGUUACUGACGCUGAGGCACGAAAGCGUGGGGAUCGAACAGGAUUAGAUACCCUAGUAGUCC